UACGAGGGGGGCUAGCGUUGUCCGGAUUUACUGGGCGUAAAGAGCGCGCAGGCGGUCGUUCAAGUCGCGUGUGAAAGCCCCCGGCUCAACUGGGGAGGGUCACGCGAUACUGAUCGACUCGAAGGCAGGAGAGGGUAGUGGAAUUCCCGGUGUAGUGGUGAAAUGCGUAGAUAUCGGGAGGAACACCAGUGGCGAAGGCGACUACCUGGCCUGUUCUUGACGCUGAGGCGCGAAAGCUAGGGGAGCAAACGGG
rnacentral:rRNA from 1 species